CUUGGUAAUACCGUUCAAGGGAAAUUACUCUAUGAUAUUGUUUACAUGUUACAGUAGUUAUAUUGUUUAAGUUUUUAAGUCUUUACAUUAGAACCUCUUGUGUGACAUACUUCAUCUUAAAGACGAUAAUGUAGAUUAUAGAGUGGAUGCAGUUGAAGGUGACAUUCUCUCCUGACUACCCGAAUGAAGCCCCAUGUCUGGAGAUACCCAUGAGGUCCCAGGUCCUCCUCCACAGCUGUGUGCCAGGCUUCUUGUACAAUUGCAGAACGCGUCAGUGGAUUUACCUGAACGUUCAUGAGAAAUGGAACAACAUCUUCAGAUGUCCUGAGUAACUGGUUGCUAUGUUUACUGGUGACCGUGCCAACAAGGCCACUAUCUUGAAAGCCAUGAGGAACAUUCAGACUAGGCACCACAAAAGUCCACCAGACCUUGUGCCAGACUGUGGUUUCACCUGAAUAUGCCUACCCAGUGAUUGACCUUGACAUGUGGAGCUCAGUGCUCUAUACAUGUAGUCACAUUCAAGGUCAUCUGGAGCAGGAUGUCUAGAGGGACUGCAUUUCACUACAACCUCACUUAACUCUUGAGGAUCUCCACUGCAGCUUUUAGCCAGGGAGUUUUAAAAGCAGAGAUAAUACACAUGCAUUGUAAUUGGCUGUUUUUUAUAGACAGUCAAUUCAUAAGACAAAGUGGUGCCGCGUAUUACUAGUAAGUGAUGACAUUGACAAAGUGAGGAUAGUGACACAGGGAUGACAUGGAACCAGAUGACUCCACUGAAUGCAGCACUGUUGUGGCAUAACAUGGUGACAAAUAUUGCAUAGAGAAGACAUAAAACUCCAUCUUUAUCUAAUAGGACUCUUUAUGUUUACCACAAUAAUCAUCACACAAUUUUAAAAUUUGUAUGUGAGUGUAAUGUUAAAAGCCUUUACUCAAGCCACUUGAAUAUACAUAGUACACUUUUGCAACAAUUGACUUGCACCCUUGUAUAAAUGAUAUGAUCAGAAAUGAAUCUAAAAUAGACACUCCAAUGAACCAAAAUAUGCUUACAGUAUAUAUUCAAUAUCACUGCUUUAUUAUGCUUUCUUAAGCUGGAUCAGGGCACUAGUAAGAAGAGACAUUUGAGAAAGGACUUACUCAUUGGCCUCUCAAACAAUUUUGUGCUCAUUAAGACCAACAAAAAACCUUCAUAAUAUCUAAUGAUGUUAGAGAUUUGUGCAAUAAAGAUUUUAAU